GAUGAACGCUGGCGGCGUGCCUAAUACAUGCAAGUCGAGCGAACAGACGAGGAGCUUGCUCCUCUGACGUUAGCGGCGGACGGGUGAGUAACACGUGGAUAACCUACCUAUAAGACUGGGAUAACUUCGGGAAACCGGAGCUAAUACCGGAUAAUAUAUUGAACCGCAUGGUUCAAUAGUGAAAGACGGUUUUGCUGUCUCUUAUAGAUGGAUCCGCGCCGCAUUAGCUAGUUGGUAAGGUAACGGCUUACCAAGGCAACGAUGCGUAGCCGACCUGAGAGGGUGAUCGGCCACACUGGAACUGAGACACGGUCCAGGCUCCUACGGGAGGCAGCAGUAGGGAAUCUUCCGCAAUGGGCGAAAGCCUUACGGAGCAACGCCGCGUGAGUGAUGAAGGUCUUCGGAUCGUAAAACUCUGUUAUUAGGGAAGAACAAAUGUGUAAGUAACUAUGCACGUCUUGACGGUACCUAAUCAGAAAGCCACGGCUAACUACGUG
rnacentral:rRNA from 1 species